ensembl:miRNA microRNA 184
CCUUAUCACUUUUCCAGCCCAGCUUUGUGAUUGUCAGUGUUGGACGGAGAACUGAUAAGGGUGGG